rnacentral:lncRNA from 1 species
CCUAUUACUAUAAAUCACCACCACCUCCAUCGCCAUCACCUCCACCUCCAUAUUACUACAAGUCUCCACCACCGCCAUCUCCAUCACCGCCACCACCCUAUUACUACAAGUCUCCUCUUUCACCGUCGCCUUCUCCUCCACCUCCAUACUAUUACCACUCUCCACCCCCUCCAGUAAAGUCUCCUCCUCCUGCCUAUUACUACAGCUCACCUCCUCCACCCGUGAAAUCACCACCUCCACCAGUAUACAUUUAUGCUUCUCCGCCACCUCCAAUCCACUACUAAGUAUUUCUAAGAGCUCAGCCAUUCUCCACAAUCAAUCAAGUGAGUUGCUGUUUGAAUUGUGUAUUCUUUUUUG